UCCCUUAGAAUGGCUUAACUAUGAUGGGGUUUUAACCUCUUGCAAGAGGAUCAGAGAAUUUUUCCACCUUGCUGAAAUUGACAUACAUCAUGUGUGGCAGAGGGUCUUCAGAGCCUGGCUUGCCAGCUGACAUAUCAAAGCUGCCUUUUAUUUAAAUUCCAGGGGGAAAAGCCAGUCUCUUUCCUGUGAAAUAAACCACAAAACCCAGACAGCAGCCACUGCAGAGCUCCCUCAGAAGUUCUCUCCGACUGUCACAUUGUAUGCAGCUUGUCAGCUGCAUAUGUUUUUCCUUCCCAGAGGCUAGCAAAGAUUAGAAGGCGAAAAAAACGCACUCGUGAUGAAAUGUUCUCUGACCUCAUGCUGUCCUCCCACACUGACAGAGCACAGCCAAAUACAUGGAGGCAGACAAUCUCAGAGUGCAGGAAAACACAAUAUGACCUUGAGGAGAGGUGGUGGGCUGAAGAUGGUAGGUGGUGUCAGCUUGCUGAAAGAAGGCAGGAGUCAAUGCUCAGUCUGCUGGAGCGUAUGAUUGAGCUGCAGGAAAGGCAGCAGGAGCACAGACGACCACUACAGCCCCUGUGUAACCAACCACCCUCCUCUCCAAGUUCCAUAGCCUCCUCACCCAGAUGCCCAAGAAUGCAGUGUGGGGGGGCCCCUCCGGUCACCCAGCCACUCCACCCCAGAGGAUUGCCCAAGCAACAGAAGGCUGGCAUUCAAUAAGUUUUAAAGUGCUGUGUGGCCUUGUCCUUCCCUCCUCCACCACCUUUCCCAGGCUACC